CCAAAAGCAGGGAAAAUAAUAAUAAUAAUAUUAAUAAUCUUCCUUUCUCCCCAGUCCUGAAGGGAAUAUAGAAACAAACAAGCUUUCUCUCACAGGCUCAAUCUACCUAGAUUUCUGUACUGUUUUCCCAUUAUGAUAAUUCUUUCCUAUUUUCUUCUUUUCAGGUUGACCACAGAACUGACUGUCACCCUCACUGAACUCCUUACUACAGGAGUGCAGCAGCAGAGAUCGCAGCCAGUGAUCUCAGUUAAAUGAAGACUAAUGCCUAGAGUUAGGAUAUACAGCUCAGGCAUUUAUCAGACAUUUAUGUCCUUUGAGUGGCUGCAUUUGCUAAUCAGAUGCUUAUGGUGCUUCAGCUGUUAUAGCUGCCAGGGAGCAAGGGCAGGUGAUCUGCAAGCAGGCAUCAGCGGCAGGGUAGGAUCAUCACAGGAUGGACACAGGGCAAAAUCUACUACAUAGACGAGCAUUUGGGCUAAAGUAAGCAUGGCUUUUAACCAAAAAGAUCCUGAAAUAUCACAAUCCCUAC